rnacentral:rRNA from 1 species
GACGAACGCUGGCGGCGUGCUUAACACAUGCAAGUCGAACGGAAAGGCCCUGCUUUUGUGGGGUGCUCGAGUGGCGAACGGGUGAGUAACACGUGAGUAACCUGCCCUUGACUUUGGGAUAACUUCAGGAAACUGGGGCUAAUACCGGAUAGGAGCUCCUGCUGCAUGGUGGGGGUUGGAAAGUUUCGGCGGUUGGGGAUGGACUCGCGGCUUAUCAGCUUGUUGGUGGGGUAGUGGCUUACCAAGGCUUUGACGGGUAGCCGGCCUGAGAGGGUGACCGGCCACAUUGGGACUGAGAUACGGCCCAGAGUCCUACGGGAGGCAGCAGUGGGGAAUAUUGCACAAUGGGCGGAGGCCUGAUGCAGCAACGCCGCGUGCGGGAUGACGGCCUUCGGGUUGUAAACCGCUUUCGCCUGUGACGAAGCGUGAGUGACGGUAAUGGGUAAAGAAGCACCGGCUAACUACGUG